rnacentral:rRNA from 1 species
AUUGAACGCUGGCGGCAGGCUUAACACAUGCAAGUCGAGCGGGGUGAUGGUGCUUGCACUAUCACUUAGCGGCGGACGGGUGAGUAAUGCUUAGGAAUCUGCCUAUUAGUGGGGGACAACAUCUCGCAAGGGAUGCUAAUACCGCAUACGUCCUACGGGAGAAAGCAGGGGAUCACUUGUGACCUUGCGCUAAUAGAUGAGCCUAAGUCGGAUUAGCUAGUUAGUGGGGUAAAGGCCUACCAAGGCGACGAUCUGUAGCGGGUCUGAGAGGAUGAUCCGCCACACUGGGACUGAGACACGGCCCAGACUCCUACGGGAGGCAGCAGUGGGGAAUAUUGGACAAUGGGGGGAACCCUGAUCCAGCCAUGCCGCGUGUGUGAAGAAGGCCUUAUGGUUGUAAAGCACUUUAAGCGAGGAGGAGGCUCUUUUGGUUAAUACCCAAGAUGAGUGGACGUUACUCGCAGAAUAAGCACCGGCUAACUCUGUGCCAGCCGCCGCGGUAA